rnacentral:rRNA from 1 species
UACGAAGGGGGCUAGCGUUGCUCGGAAUCACUGGCGUAAAGGGUGCGUAGGCGGGUUUUUAAGUCAGGGGUGAAAUCCUGGAGCUCAACUCCAGAACUGCCUUUGAUACUGAAGAUCUCGAGUCCGGGAGAGGUGAGUGGAACUGCGAGUGUAGAGGUGAAAUUCGUAGAUAUUCGCAAGAACACCAGUGGCGAAGGCGGCUCACUGGCCCGGUACUGACGCUGAGGUGCGAAAGCGUGGGGAGCAAACAGG